rnacentral:rRNA from 1 species
GAUGAACGCUGGCGGCGUGCCUAAUACAUGCAAGUCGAGCGAACCACUUCGGUGGUGAGCGGCGAACGGGUGAGUAACACGUAGGUGAUCCGCCCAUCAGACGGGGACAACGAUUGGAAACGAUCGCUAAUACCGGAUAGGACGAAAGUUUAAAGGUGCUUCUGGCACCGCUGAUGGAUGAGCCUGCGGCGCAUUAGCUAGUUGGUAGGGUAAAGGCCUACCAAGGCGACGAUGCGUAGCCGACCUGAGAGGGUGAACGGCCACACUGGGACUGGGACACGGCCCAGACCCCUACGGGAGGCAGCAGUAGGGAAUCUUCGGCAAUGGGCGAAAGCCUGACCGAGCAACGCCGCGUGAAUGAUGAAGGCCUUCGGGUUGUAAAAUUCUGUUAUAAGGGAAGAACGACUUUAGUAGGAAAUGGCUAGAGUGUGACGGUACCUUAUGAGAAAGCCACGGCUAACUACGUGCCAGCCGCCGCAGUAA